AAGAAAGCAGAGGCUACGAAGAUAUGUGUGAUGUUCCGGGUCUUGAACCGACUUGAAUUAAAAUAUUUAGGCUUGUCAUUUUAGUUUUAGAGCCUUACACAUAGUUUAAUGUCUUCAAAAUUGCGGUUGUAGCCGUGUUUGUUGAUUCUAUUGUUUUGGCGAACUAAAUUUUCUGAAUUUUGGCCAUAGUGUAGAAGUACGUUGAUGGAGAUUUAUUCACAAUAGGCAGUCUUGCACGUGCAGUGGGUUGGGCGUGCACGUACGACAAGGUGGAGCAGUAGAGGAGUUUCACACUCUAGUAAACCGCAUGUAUGGCCAACAGGCCACCGUACAUGUAGCCUAUUACGUUUUUUCCUCGAAUUUUGUGCAUAACACACUAAAAAUUUGAUUUCUUUCUUUCUUUUCAUCACUUUUAUGUACUCUCUCUCUAAACUCUUUUCUCACCCUUCUUUCUAUAAAGCUACACAAAACUACACAAAUUCUUUAAUUCAAGAAAAUCGAAGGAGAUUUUGGCACUAGUUCUUUGACCAAAGCAACGAGCGUGUCAAGGGUGUUGUUUCAACUGAAGUGAUUGAGAUUUCAAUAAAUCUGAGUUUGGGAGUUUUUCUUCUUGGUUCUUCUCUUCUCUCCAAGAGAAUUCAAAGAAAUUACUGGAGGAUUGGUUCGAAUAUCGUAAGAGGCAACUGCAAAGCAUUACGGACAAUACCUCCCAUGACAGGGCAGGCAUCGGCUCGGGAUCAUGUCUUCUUAGGACUAUUCUGGAUGUACAAUGCAAUUUCAGAAGUAAUAUUCCAUUUCAGUUGGAAAAUAGCACAUUCUGGAAGUUCCUAUUAAAGAAAGGGACUAUUACAGGAUGCUUUGCAUACAAACUAUUGCAUCCCUUAGAUUGUUGCCUUCUACUUAUGGAAGGACUUACUCUAUCAUGAUCGCACACUUGAUGAAAGAGGUUUACAAGCAGGUGGGUGACACGGGAAGAGGCAUUUGUUGCAUCUGAAACUUCUUCAAAUUCAACUAAAAAAAAGCCUAGGACUAUUGUCAAAAUUACACAAAUCCUUCAAUCUAACAAAAUCAAAGAAGAUUUUGGUAUUAGUUCUUAAGGCCAAAUCAACGAGCAUUCCGAGGGCAACAUUUUGACCAGUGGAAAUCAAUUUUCGGUGAGUUCGAAAUUGGGUGUCUUGGUUUUCCUAUUCUCUUCCAGAGGUGACCAACGGGAUGUCCAGCUCCAGCCCUAGUGGAAAUGUGAAAAGAGUAUCGAGAUUUUGGAGUCAACCAAGGUCGCCUCACGGAUGAGGCUUUUGUUUUUGAUUUUCCUUUUGUUCUCUUUUGUGGUCUUGUGUGACUAAAUCUAUAUGUAUAACCUUGGUUUUUGAUAAAACUGUUUUGAAUGAUCUGGGAUACGUAUGUCUAUAUUAACAAUAUGGUGUGAGUUAUUAGACGAAUAAGAAAAGUUUUUAUUAUGCCAUA